ACCACAACUUUGUAGUUUGUACAACAUCUACUUUUAGGUAUUCUACCUAGAUAGUUAGAUACAUGACACAAACCAUAGGCUUACAUAUUUCACGGCAUGAUUUGCUUUCAAAAUCCUGUGAGCAUGCACAUAACCUAAUUAAUAACUGCAUCUAUACUUAAAUAGUACUAGGGAAUAAACUUACAAUCAUCACAUUAUUAUUAUUAUUAUUAAUUAUUAUUAAAACGAAUUAUUAUACAGGAUAAAAACACUUCAGCAAAAGAAUAGCUGUUAUCAACGUGUGUCCUGUAAUGUUCAUAAAAAU